CAGCAGCCGCGGGAAUACGUAGGGUGCAAGCGUUAAUCGGAAUUACUGGGCGUAAAGCGUGCGCAGGCGGUUAUAUAAGACAGAUGUGAAAUCCCCGGGCUCAACCUGGGAACUGCAUUUGUGACUGUAUAGCUAGAGUACGGCAGAGGGGGAUGGAAUUCCGCGUGUAGCAGUGAAAUGCGUAGAUAUGCGGAGGAACACCGAUGGCGAAGGCAAUCCCCUGGGCCUGUACUGACGCUCAUGCACGAAAGCGUGGGGAGCAAACAGGAUUAGAUACCCGUGUAGUCCCUGUCUCUUAUAA
rnacentral:rRNA from 1 species